CUCAAAGUUGGAACCUGCUUGGUGUAGCUAAGCCGGAUUGUAAACUAGAGAAGUGUUUUCCUGGCUGGCCGAGUAAAAAAGUCCUUUGGAACAGGGCAUCAUAGAGGGUGAGAAUCCCGUCUUUGGCUCGAGCAUUAGUCUUUUGUGAUACAUUUUCAAUGAGUCAGGUUGUUUGGGAAUGCAGCCUAAAUUGGGAGGUAAAUCUCUCCUAAAGCUAAAUAUUUGCGAGAAACCGAUAGCGAACAAGUACCGUGAGGGAAAGAUGAAAAGAACUUUGAAAAGAGAGUUAAACAGUAUGUGAAAUUGUUAAAAGGGAACCGUUUGGAGCCAGUCUGGCUUUCCUAUAAUCAAUCUAGGCUUCGGCCUUGAUGCACUUGUAGGUUAUCGCCGGCCAACGACAAUUGGGAUCGCGAGGGAAAAAACCUUUGGAAAUGUAGCCAUUCUGCAAAGUUUGGUGUUAUAGUCCUUGGGAAAAUACCUUGUGCUCGAUUGAGGAUCGCAGUGAAUGCCUUUCGGGGCAGGAUGUGGUGAGGUAGGUUUGCUUGACCUAAGGUGACUUUCGGGUUGCUUUAGCGAGGCUUACUCCUUGCUUCUAUCUUUAUU
rnacentral:rRNA from 1 species